rnacentral:lncRNA from 1 species
UGAACAUCAUCCAGGACACUUUGUGGAUUCUAUUUAGAUGAUCAGUCAACAUAAGGGAAAGACUUGAGUUACUUCCAACAGGGGUCUAUUCGUCAAUCAAAACGUUAAUCUUGAAGAAGCAAAGGUUUGUUCAUGAGCUGUCAUGCUCGCUAGGUGAAGCUCACGUGUUAUGCAAACAAAAAGAAAACAAAAAGAAAAAAAAUAAAUAAAAAAUAAAAAAAAAAGAAAAAA